rnacentral:lncRNA from 1 species
UCUUGUGUCUGUGACUUGUAAAUAGGAACUGGAAUUGUAUUUACACAUCAAAGACCACUAGGGAUGAGAUAAUGGCUAAAAAGGAUGUAAAAAGGGAAAAGCUGAACAAAGGGUGCAAGGAUACUGACCAGACUGGUUUCUGGCGUUCCCGCCCGUUAGCGAGAAGAAAUUUUAUUAUUUUAUCUGAAUUCUGUGUCUCCGUGUAUUUCUUUCCGAGAUUUCUGCAACAGUACCAGGCUCUGCGUGAGUUCCAAGCCUUUGACUUUGACCAGACACCCUGGCUCACCAGUGUGCAGAUGGCCACUCUGCAUUCUUUCUCCUGUGGCCUGGCCACCGGGGUCCUUCUGCUUCUGAUCCGGGGAGCCUACCUGCACAGUCAAACCAUGAGUCUUGGCAGUUCCUCUGCUUCUUCUGCUUCUGGAACUCCACACCCUGCAUGGACUGGCCUUCUCUCAGCUUUGGGGAUAAGUUAUGCUUCCUUCUAUCUCAGUCAUUGCAUGUACAGGUUAUCUGUGACAAACAAGUAACUGCGUGAACCACUGGAGCUUCUCCUGAAGCCAAGGAAAUAUUGAGUGAAUGGAAUGAGACCAGUCUAGAAGUGCAUACGCCAGCUACAGCAGUGGUAAUCCACACUCGCUUAAUAAACAAGUCAACAUUUCACAGGAACAAAGCAUCCCAGGGAGAAAAAUGGGUAGAUCAUCCUCAGUCAGUGACUACCACAGCAUUUCUAUACUAGUAAUUUACUACACAUUUGCCAUCAUUAAGCUAUUA